rnacentral:rRNA from 1 species
GACGAACGCUGGCGGCGUGCUUAACACAUGCAAGUCGAACGGACGGACGCUUAGCAAUAGGCGAAAGUUAGUGGCGAACGGGUGAGUAACGCGUAGACAACCUACCUUCCAGAUGGGGACAACACCGCGAAAGUGGUGCUAAUACCGAAUGUGGUAUAUAAGGUGCAUGCCAUAUAUACGAAAGAUGGCCUCUAUAAAAAGCUAUCGCUAGAAGAAGGGUCUGCGUCUGAUUAGCUAGUUGGGGGGGUAACAGCCCACCAAGGCGACGAUCAGUAGCCGGUCUGAGAGGAUGAACGGCCACACUGGGACUGAGACACGGCCCAGACUCCUACGGGAGGCAGCAGUGGGGAAUCUUCCGCAAUGGACGAAAGUCUGACGGAGCAACGCCGCGUGAGUGAAGAAGGCCUUCGGGUCGUAAAGCUCUGUUAUUAGGGACGAACGUUUUCUAUGUGAAUAAUGUAGAGAAGUGACGGUACCUAAGGAGGAAGCCACGGCUAACUACGUG